GUUGGAAACGGCUGCUAAUACCGCAUAAGCGCACAGCAUCGCAUGAUGCAGUGUGAAAAACUCCGGUGGUAUAAGAUGGACCCGCGUUGGAUUAGCUAGUUGGUGAGGUAACGGCCCACCAAGGCGACGAUCCAUAGCCGACCUGAGAGGGUGACCGGCCACAUUGGGACUGAGACACGGCCCAAACUCCUACGGGAGGCAGCAGUGGGGAAUAUUGCACAAUGGGCGAAAGCCUGAUGCAGCGACGCCGCGUGAGCGAAGAAGUAUUUCGGUAUGUAAAGCUCUAUCAGCAGGGAAGAUAAUGACGGUACCUGACUAAGAAGCACCGGCUAAAUACGUGCCAGCAGCCGCGGUAAUACGUAUGGUGCAAGCGUUAUCCGGAUUUACUGGGUGUAAAGGGAGCGCAGGCGGUGCGGCAAGUCUGAUGUGAAAGCCCGGGGCUCAACCCCGGUACUGCAUUGGAAACUGUCGUACUAGAGUGUCGGAGGGGUAAGCGGAAUUCCUAGUGUAGCGGUGAAAUGCGUAGAUAUUAGGAGGAACACCAGUGGCGAAGGCGGCUUACUGGACGAUAGCUGACGCUGAGGCUCGAGAGCGUGGGGAGCAAACAGGAUUAGAUACCCUGGU
rnacentral:rRNA from 1 species